UGCUUAUCUUACUUGCCAAUUAGUGGGGGAUAACUCUGGUGCGCCAGAACUAAUACCGCAUUUGUUGCUUCGGCAAUGAAAGGGAAUCGCAAGAUUUUCGCUAAUUGAUAGGGAUAAGUCGUAUUAGUUUGUUGGUGGGGUAAUGGCCUACCAAGACGAUGAUGCGUAGCCGGGCUGAGAGGCUGAUCGGCCACAAGGGAACUGAGACACGGUCCCUACUCCUACGGGAGGCAGCAGUGAGGAAUUUUCGGCAAUGGGGGAAACCCUGACCGAGCAAUACUACGUGAAGGAGGAAGGUCUACGGAUUGUAAACUUCUGUUAGUGUGGAAGAAGGGCUGAAUGCAAGUUCAGCCUUGACGGUACGCACAGAGAAAGCCACGACUAACUACGUGCCAGCAGUCGCGGUAAGACGUAGGUGGCGAACGUUAUCCGGAAUUAUUGGGCGUAAAGGGUGCGUAGGCGGCGGAAUAAGUUAGUGGUGGAAAAUCGGGGCUCAACCUCGUGGAAGUCAUUAAUACUGUUUUGCUAGAGGACAGGAGAGGUUAACGGAAUUCCCUGUGGAGCGGUAAAAUGUGUAGAUAUAGGGAAGAACACCAAUAAGGCGAAGGCAGUUAACUAUUCUGUUCCUGACGUUGAGGCACGAAAGCGUGGGGAGCAAAUAGGAUUAGAUACCCUAGUAGUCCACGCCCUAAACGAUGAGUGCUAGACAUUGGAAACUUGAUUUUCAGUGUCGCUAGAUAACUCGGUAAGCACUCCGCCUGGGUAGUACGCUCGCAAGAGUGAAACUCAAAGGAAUUGACGGGGACUCGCACAAGCACUGGAGCAUGUGGUUUAAUCCGAUGCAACGCGUAGAACCUUACCAAGGCUUGACAUGUUUGGCAAAACUGUGGAAACACAGCGGAGGUUAUCCAAACACAGGUGCUGCAUGGCCGUCGUCAGUUCGUGCCGUGAGGUGUAUGGUUAAGUCCUAUAACGAACGCAACCCUUGGGCUUAGUUGCCAGCAUUCAGUUGGGGACUCUAGGCCGACUGCCUGAGUAAUCAGGAGGAAGGAAAGGAUGACGUCUGGUCGUCAUCUGC
rnacentral:rRNA from 1 species